UUUGACUUAAUUGUUAAUACACAUGAAUAAAAACUUCAGGGCAAAAUUCAAGCAGUAAAGAAAUGAACACAGUUGCGUUGCACAGUUUGGCUUUUGUGGGGCACUAUGGAGUCAAGCAUCAUAUACUGCAGUCAUGCACUUUAACGGUGUCAGAGUAACAAUCACUCAUGACUGUUUAGAUUGAGAUCUCCAGUACUAGAUAUCAACAUGAGAGUUUGCAGCAUAAUUACUGUCACACUAAUCUGUCUCUCUGUUGACCAGUCUCCACCUGAUGUGAUCAAGAAACCAAAGGAAUCUGCAAAGAUCCAGUGUUCACACAAUGUGCCCAAUUACAAUCAAAUUAGCUGGUACAGACAAAACCAGGACCAAGGGUUCACAUUCAUGGGAUAUUUAUUUUUAAAAGGUCAAAACCCAGAAAAAGAGUUCACUAAAAAAAUAGAAAUGUCUGGGGAAGGAAAUAGCAAUGGAUAUUUGACUAUUGAAGAUCUCUCGUCUAAUGACAGUGCAGUGUAUUUUUGUGCUGCAUGUUACACAGUGUUUUAGAUCCAAGCUGUUCAUUACAAAAACAUCUCUUUAAUUCUGUGAUUAAUGGAUAACAAAGAAAAAAAAAGCCUUAAUCCACACCUGCUCCUGUGGUAUUAAUUUCAGACUGUUUUAUUUAUUUAUUUAUUUUUACUUAUUGGUAGUAAGUAAGGUAGUUGUUGUGUUAGUUCUGUUAAGGGUAUGGGGCUGGGUUAAGGGAUUUAGAAUAUGGUCAUGCAAAAUAAGGCAUUAAUAAGGCAUCAAUAUGCUAAUAAUAUGCCUGCUAAUAAGCAACUAGAUAAUUGUGAACAGUGUUCCCUAAUCUAAAUUGUUACUAUAUAUAUGGAUGUCAUAACUACCUACAUUUUACAACCCUGAAAAAAAAAAAAAAAAAAAAAAAAAAAAAAAAAAAAAACUAAAGCACUGAUCAAACAUUCAACAGCUUGAGGUUAAUGAACACAAUGUCGUGCCUUUCAAUAGGUGGGGCUGUUUUGCAACACAUCCACUCAUGAGGAUGGAGGUAGGACCUCACUUCUGAAAGGGUUGAUGAAAUUCAGAUGAACUUAUGCGGCUUUAAGUACAUUUUUUAAAACUGUCCUAAGAAUCCAGUGUCGUUAAAACUUAAUAAUGGUCAGAAAUCCAGUUCUACUCUUUUAUUUGCUCUGCUGGCAUUUUGGUAAGUAAAUGUAAAUGUUGUUUUUUUUUGGACACAGCUUUCUUUGCACUCUUGUUACAUUAUCUGGUGAAGUCCUUUAUAUACCACAGAAUGCACUAAAAUUGCUGUUUCCAUUUCCUUUAUUUAACAGGCCAUUUGUUGAGCAGUGUUGAUCAAACUCCUUCUGAAGUCAUUGUGCAUUCUGGACAGGCCUGCACUCUAUCCUGCUCUCACAGUAUCUCCAGCUACAACACUAUACUGUGGUACUACCAGCAUGAGCAUGGUCAAGGCAUGCACAUUAUUGGAUAUACCUUUCAUAGUACCCACAAUUUGGAGAAUGCAGAUGAUAAAAAAUACAAGCUGAAAGGAGAUGCCAAGAGUUCUGUGAACCUGACAAUCUCAGAGCUCAUGUUUAAGGAAAGUGCAGUGUAUUUCUGUGCAGCCAGUUCACACAGUGCUGUAGGCCCCCCAUGAGCCCUACAAAAAGCCCAUAUCUUUUGUGCAUCUUUCAUUAACUUUCAAGCAGUUGGGUUGAGUAGGAUUCCAUGGGAGGUACCUGCCAACUCUAUUUUGUUUUCAAGUUGAUGUAUUUAGCAAAUAGGUCAACAGAAUGCAAAAGAAGGGUUACUUAAAAUAAAAGUCCCUGACAAGUCUGGUUUCUCCA
ensembl:lncRNA